UAACCAGUGUCACUGUCAUUUCUAAAUAUUUUAUAACCUCUAAAUUUUACUGAAUCUGAUGAUUUUAACCAAGUUUCAUUGAGAAUUAAAAUAUCAAUAUUGAGUGUAAUUAAAAGCUCACUUACGAAGGGAGUCUUAGGCUUAAGACUCUGAAUAUUGUGUUGAACAAUAACUAAAGAUUUACUAUCCAUUUUGAGAAACUUUCUUUAAAAACAUUUCUUUAAUAUUAGAGGAAUUAAUUGGCAAGCUGUUUUCUUUGUCACAAAAAUUACAGGUACAAUGCUUAGACCAUAGUUAACAUGCUCGGGGAGUACAUUACCUGCAAAGGUCAGAGAUACAGUUUGCAAUGGGAUGAUACCUUCAGGAGUGCGCUUCGUGAACCUUCUGACUGCCAGGAUCUCCUGUGAACUGAGAAGUUUGUCAAAUAGAUGUUUGCAGCUAAGAUCUGUGGGAAUGUAUCGUAUAACUCCUAUGCAUUCUGAUGUUGCCGCAGGGAUGAAGGCUUUGAUGUCAUGAGAAGACAAGAAUGUUGAGUUAAACAGUAACGCAUUAGCAUUCUUUGCAUUAUCAAAAAUAACAGCAUACCGCAUUGCA